AGGGUGUAAACGCUGCAGACUUGGUGUUGGAAAUCCUUCGAGGGUAUUCAGUGCCGGAGAGAAGUUGUUAAGUCUGCUACUUGGGGAGUACGUCCGCAAGGAUGAAACUUAAAGGAAUUGGCGGGGGAGCACCGCAACGGGAGGAGCGUGCGGUUUAAUUGGAUACAACACCGUAAAACUCACCAGGGAAGACUGUUACAUGAAGGCCGAGAUGAAGACUCUGCUAGAUUUUCAGAGAGGUGGUGCAUGGCGUCAGUGACU
rnacentral:rRNA from 1 species